CGGCUAAGCCGGGCCGAAGUGAAGCGGCAAGAGCUCAGAUUUGAAAUCGUGCUUUGCGGCACGAGUUGUAGAUUGCAGGUUGGAGUCUGUGUGGAAGGCGGUGUCCAAGUCCCUUGGAACAGGGCGCCCAGGAGGGUGAGAGCCCCGUGGGAUGCCGGCGGAAGCAGUGAGGCCCUUCUGACGAGUCGAGUUGUUUGGGAAUGCAGCUCCAAGCGGGUGGUAAAUUCCAUCUAAGGCUAAAUACUGGCGAGAGACCGAUAGCGAACAAGUACUGUGAAGGAAAGAUGAAAAGCACUUUGAAAAGAGAGUGAAACAGCACGUGAAAUUGUUGAAAGGGAAGGGUAUUGCGCCCGACAUGGGGAUUGCGCACCGCUGCCUCUCGUGGGCGGCGCUCUGGGCUUUCCCUGGGCCAGCAUCGGUUCUUGCUGCAGGAGAAGGGGUUCUGGAACGUGGCUCUUCGGAGUGUUAUAGCCAGGGCCAGAUGCUGCGUGCGGGGACCGAGGACUGCGGCCGUGUAGGUCACGGAUGCUGGCAGAACGGCGCAACACCGCCCGUCUUGAAACACGGACCAAA
rnacentral:rRNA from 1 species